AGCGGGUCGGGUCAGGGUCCAGACCCGGACCCUAGCCCCACGCGAGAGGAGCCCGACGCUGUCCCUCCUCCCUCGCAUUCUCUUCUCCUUCGCUUUCCUCUUACCGUCUCUUCCUUACCCACGACCGGAGCUCAGGGAAGAAGGCGACGGCGACGGCGGCGGCGGCGGCGGCGGCGGCGGCGGCGGCGGCGGCGACGACGGCGGCGUUGAGGUGAACCCUGUCGUCCCCUGCCUCUUCCUCUCUUCUCUUUUCUUCUCCUUCCCGUUUUCUUUCCCUUCUCCCUCUCCCACCGUCUCUCGUCUCCCCUCUCCACCGAACGACCCUCCCUCUCCCACUGUCUCUCGUCUCCCCUCUCCACCGAACGACUCUCCCUCUCCCACUGUCACUCGUCUCACUCUCCACCGUCUCUCUCUCUUCUCUCCCGUCCUCUCCCCUCACUGCCUUCUUUUCCCCUUUUGACCGAACCCUCUCCCCAUUUUCUGCUCGUUUUCUAUUUUUCUCCAAUCAAGUACUUUCUCUCACUGAUUUUCACUGUGCUAUCACUGUUGGAUCCGUUUUCAGCUUGGGGAUUUGUCUUCCCCCUCGUAACAGCAAUUAGAGAAGGCCUUGGUAGUGGCGGCAUUGGAGGAUUUUAGCCGUUUGGGGACCACUUGGACGCGUGAGGUGGCUGCCGGGAGGAUUACAACAGUUUAGACCUUCAAUCGGGGUUCACCGGGUACGUCCCGUCGACCUUGAGUUACCGGAUUCGAAGCUCGAGGCAUUUUGAAGAUUCUUGUGAACGCGCCACAGGUUUUGGUGUACCCGGGGCAGCAGGCUGAGCAGAUGGCUACACUCACGUCCUACUGGGGAGGUUUUGGGUUUUGUUUUGUUCUUGUAGUGCCGGCGCGUCGGGUUUUUGGUUUUACUGAUGCCUUGUUUUGAUGAGGCAUCGAUGUUGUGAUUUUGGGGCAUUUUUGUCAAAUGUACAAUUGAAUUGAAAUGCUAUAUAAUGGAAAGCUUGCCCCAUUGUUUUGAAUUGUAUGGCU